UUGAUCAUGGCUCAGGAUGAACGCUAGCUACAGGCUUAACACAUGCAAGUCGAGGGGCAGCAGGAUCUUAGCUUGCUAAGAUUGCUGGCGACCGGCGCACGGGUGAGUAACGCGUAUCCAACCUUCCCCUUAGUAGGGCAUAGCCCGAUGAAAAUCGGAUUAAUACCCUAUGUUUUCCAAUGAGGACAUCUGAGCUGGAACAAAGAUUCAUCGCUAAGGGAUGGGGAUGCGUCCGAUUAGGUAGUCGGCGGGGUAACGGCCCACCGAGCCAUCGAUCGGUAGGGGUUCUGAGAGGAAGGUCCCCCACAUUGGAACUGAGACACGGUCCAAACUCCUACGGGAGGCAGCAGUGAGGAAUAUUGGUCAAUGGGCGAGAGCCUGAACCAGCCAAGUAGCGUGCAGGAUGACCGGCCCUAUGGGUUGUAAACUGUCUUUUAUGCGGGGAUAAAGUGUGCCACGUGUGGCGUUUUGUAGGUACCGCAUGAAUAAGGACCGGCUAAUUCCGUGCCAGCCGCCGC
rnacentral:rRNA from 1 species